rnacentral:ncRNA from 1 species
AGGAUAGAGGCGCAGCUGUCAACAGUAGCGUGGGUGAAAAAGGCCAGGCAAAGCCGUUGCCCGCGGGAAAGGGACCGCUGCCGAAGGUCCGGCGGCUGCAUGCCGGGCCUGGGCAUCCGGAGAAUAUCCGGCUGACUGUCGCGUUUGCGGAGAGCUAUGC